CAGUACAAUUCCAAUCGUCGUACCAGUAAGACCUUUAGUAAAUAUUUUUAAAUUACUUGUAUCCCAAGAAAAAAGGUUUUCCAACUUUUUUAAAAUUCAACAAAUAUCCAAAAAGUUCAGAGAAAUCAUGCAUAAGUCUACGUGUUUAAGGCCCAGUACCUCCAAGCCAAAAUGUCGCGUCUGCGGAGACCAGAUAAGCUUUAUUAAGCUCGUACCAAAGGUUGUCAAGCCCGAGGAGGCCGACGAAACAGUUGGCCUUGAUCCCGAAGAUUAUGAAGACUUCCAGUGUCCGUCUUCAUACAUACGGAUAUAUCCCAUGAAGAAGAAUAAGAAAAAGGAGCAAAAGUAGGAGCUGCUCCUUCCACUCGACCUCAAGGCGACAGCUGCUCGUCCUGCAGAUAAAUUGUUGUAUUGUGAUGCAUUGUCUACUUUUGAAUAGUUUCCACCGGAAAUGCGGGAUCAAUCUGGUGUUGUGUAUUUUGUAAAUGCAUCGAGCCCCAGCAGAGCAACAAGAAAAGUCGCCUUUAUAACGAAGAUCAUGACGUCCAGUAUCCAAGGAAGAAGCCUAAAAAGGUAACAGAAGUAGGAGCUGCUCCUUCGUC